UACAGAGGGUGCGAGCGUUGUUCGGAAUUACUGGGCGUAAAGCGCGCGCAGGCGGCCUUUUAAGUCUGCUGGUGAAAUGCCGGGGCUCAACCCCGUGCCCGCCACAGAUACUGGGAGGCUGGAGACAUGUAGAGGCAAGCGGAAUUCCGGGUGUAGCGGAUGGAAUGCGUAGAGAUCCGGGAAGAACACCGGAGGCGAAGGCGGGUCUCUGGGCGAGUGAACUGACGCUGGAGGAGCGAAAGCGUGGGGAGCGAACAGG
rnacentral:rRNA from 1 species